rnacentral:rRNA from 1 species
CAGCAGCCGCGGUAAUACGGAGGGGGCUAGCGUUGUUCGGAAUUACUGGGCGUAAAGCGUGCGUAGGCGGUUCGUUAAGUCUGUUGUGAAAGCCCCGGGCUCAACCUGGGAAUGGCAAUGGAUACUGGCGAGCUAGAGUGUGUCAGAGGAUGGUGGAAUUCCCGGUGUAGCGGUGAAAUGCGUAGAGAUCGGGAGGAACAUCAGUGGCGAAGGCGGCCAUCAGGGACAACACUGACGCUGAGGCACGAAAGCGUGGGGAGCAAACAGGAUUAGAUACCCCAGUAGUCCCUGUCUCUUAUAC